rnacentral:rRNA from 1 species
GCAUGAAUGGAUCAACGAGGGCCCCACUGUCCCGGCCCGGAGCCCCGUGAACCCACAUAACGUGGACGAACAGUCCACGAACCCCCAGCGGGGAGAGAAGACCCUGUGGAGCUUUACUGCAGCCUGUCGCUGCGGGAUGGCUCUGGGUGCAUAGCGUAGCCGGGAGCCGUCGAUCCGGGCCUCUCCGGGGGCCCGGGGAGGCGCCAAUGUAACACCGGCCACCUGGGGCUGUCCCGCUAACCGGGGCCUGUGCCCUGGGACAACGGCAGGUGGGCAGUUCGGCUGGGGCGGCACUCCCCCGAAAAGAUAUCGGGGGAGCCCAAAGGUCGGCUCAGGCGGGACAGAAACCCGCUGUAGAGUGCAAGGGCAAAAGCCGGCCUGACAGGACCCUUGAACGCAAGGGGUCCUGAGGGGAAACCCGGGCCUAGCGAUCCAUCGGCCCCUACCAGUGGGGGCCGGUGGUGACAGAAAAGUUACCCCAGGGAUAACAGGCUCGUCGCGGGCGAGAGUCCCCAUCGACCCCGCGGCUUGGUACCUCGAUGUCGGCUCUUCCCAUCCUGGCCUCGCAGCAGGGGCCAAGGGUGAGGCUGCUCGCCUAUUAAAGGGGAACGUGAGCUGGGUUUAGACCGGCGUGAGCCAGGUCGGAUUCUACCUGCUGGGGGUGUGGGCCGCCUGAGGGUAGGGUCCUCCUAGUACGAGAGGAACGGAGGGCCGGGGCCAACGGUGUACCGGUCGUCCUACAGGGCGACGCCGGGCAGCCGCGCCCCUGGGGAUAAGGGCUGAAAGCAUCUAAGCCCGAAGCCCCUCCCAAAAAUAGGCGGCCAAUCGGGGACUAUAGGGCCCGGCAACGGGCCUUGGUCCCCGACGAGGGCUCCCCUAGAAGAGGGGGUUGAUGGGGUGGGCGUGUAAGGGCGGAGGCGUAAGCCGGACGCCCUCAGCGCGCCACUCCCAAUCGCCCGAGCUGUCCGGGUG